GACGAACGCUGGCGGCGUGCUUAACACAUGCAAGUCGAGCGGUAAGGCCCUUUCGGGGGUACACGAGCGGCGAACGGGUGAGUAACACGUGGGUGACCUGCCCUCAGCUCUGGGAUAAGCCUGGGAAACUGGGUCUAAUACUGGAUAUGACUCCACGGUGCAUGUCGUGGGGUGGAAAGCCCUGUGCGGCUGAGGAUGGGCCCGCGGCCUAUCAGCUUGUUGGUGGGGUGANGGCCUACCAAGGCGACGACGGGUAGCCGGCCUGAGAGGGCGACCGGCCACACUGGGACUGAGAUACGGCCCAGACUCCUACGGGAGGCAGCAGUGGGGAAUAUUGCGCAAUGGGCGGAAGCCUGCGCAGCGACGCCGCGUGGGGAUGACGGCCU
rnacentral:rRNA from 1 species